rnacentral:antisense_RNA from 1 species
CUUCAGAGACCCGAGCCAGAGCGGCUCGUCCCCCGCGCGCCCCUGCCCGUAAGUGGCGAGAAGUGCCUGAGCCUC